UGCUAAAAAAAUUGUACAAGUACAGCUAAAAAAAGAGCAUGAGACCAGAGAAGUAAAGCAAAAGAAACAGAGCAAAAACAGGGGAGCUCGAAGAACUUACUUGACUAACCUUUACACCUUCCUAUUCACAUAACAUAUGAAAUUAACAAAUUUUCUUACUUUCCUCCUCAUAUUCAUCCUUGCACUCCAUAACUCAUUGGCCAUUCAUUUCAUCUAUCACGUACACGGAAGUAAGACUCUUAGUGUAAGAAAAAUACAUAAUAUAUACGUAAGGUAUUAUCAGUAGUGAUUAAUAUCACACCUUCUCAUAUUCUCAGUCUAAACCCUAAUCUUCACACCACCUCGCUCUCACGCUCUCUCCAUCGCUCUUGCUCUCACUUUCAUCGUGAACCACCACUGUCUUCCACAUCUUCUUGCCCUCACAGUCUCAACGUUGUUUACGGUUCAUCUUUUAUAUUUAUUUCUAUUUCAGGUUGAGACUGCCAGGUUCAUUCUCACAAUCUAUUUCGGAUCGCCUGCUUCGAAUGGCAUCGAGUUUCUUGUCGCUGUCUCGCACAGUAUCUUCAGCUAAUCGACUAUGAGUAUUUAUUGUAAUGAAUCAAUGAUGAUAUCUUGUUUGUGUUUUACUAAUAACUUUUGAUCUUUGCCUUCAUUGAUGCUAACAAAGAGAACUGCAUGUGUGAACUACUGUGAGAGACUUCAUGAACUGGUCAAGAUUGCUUUUGCUUGAUAUUUGUUGGCCUAUCAAACUUUUUUGAACAUCAUUCAGGCAUUCUCCUUGUUAUUUUCAUAUUCUCUAUGAUAGGACCUACCAAUGAGGUUGAACUUUUCUUGAAAGUUGAAACUGUAGAAUUGAGAGAGUAAGUCUGAAACUAAUUUCUGUAUUCAUUGAAUGAAUUGCAGAAUUGCUGGAUCUUUUUACUUUUAGCUUUGGGUCUGUGAUUAUCCUUGAUGAUUAUCUUCCCAAGUGAUUAUCCUUUCAAACCUCCACAGGUGACCAUCUGCAAUGCUUUCACGCUCUGCUGCUGGAAUCAGAGGAUCAACCUUGAGUAAAUGGAAGCUUUAUUACCAGCACUUAAGCAUGGUCUAAAGCAACUCAGGAGAGACAAGAGAGAAAAAACAUCCUCGUCACGUUCCUCAUGCUUAAGCACUUCCUACAGAUGCUUGGGAAAAGAGUUAUAUGUCAGCCAAUGGUGGUGGGUCCUAAUUACUAUAUUGAAUAAUUAGUUGCUCCUUUCCAUUUCAUCAGUUGACUCUUGAAUAAUCCCGGAAAUGUAUUUUCUGGAGAAUAGAUGUGACACAUACUCUCAUCUUCUAAUAAAUGAAGUCAAGGAUGAAUGAAUUCACUAUGUUAUUGAUCGUUUUCUUUGAGUGGUAUGAUAUGUAUUUGAAACUCUUAUUUUCUAGAUUUUGCCAACGAGUAUUAUGCUCUUAGAGAGUAUUUAGAACAUGUAGUUUUGACCUCUAAAAAAAAUCAGAUUACCGCCUUAACAUAUGCAGUAUGCCUAUGAAAUGAUUUGGAUCAAACUCAGAACUAAAUGCUUAAGUAGUUCGGUUAUCUUUCAACAACUAGUGGUGACUCUUUGAUAAUUGUAAUAGUCACUCACUAUGCUAUAUUUUCAUAUAUAUGUAAGAGUUGCAGAAAAUGACAAGUGAAAUACAUUAGAAAUUCA